AUUGAACGCUGGCGGCAGGCCUAACACAUGCAAGUCGAACGCGUGGCGGACGGGAGAGUAAUGUCUGUGCCACUUCCUGAUGGAGGGGGUUCACUACUGGAAACGGAUACUAAUUCCGCAAACCCUCAGCUGUGCCCAGGUGGGUUUAGCUAGUGGGUGGGGUAUAGGCUCACCAAGGCGACGAACCCUAGCUGGUCUGAGAGGAUGACCAGCCACACUGGAACUGAGACACGGUCCAGACUCCUACGGGAGGCAGCAGGGGGGAAUAUUGCACAAUGGGCGAAAGCCUGAUGCAGCCAUGCCGCGUGUGUGAAGAAGGCCUUCGGGUUGUAAAGUACUUUCAGCGGGGAGGCGUUACCCGCAGAAGAAGCACCGGCUAACUCCGUGCCAGCAGCCGCGGUAAUUC
rnacentral:rRNA from 1 species